rnacentral:misc_RNA from 1 species
GAUGAAGAACGUAGCGAAAUGCGAUAAGUAAUGUGAAUUGCAGAAUUCAGUGAAUCAUCGAAUCUUUGAACGCAUCUUGCGCUCCUUGGUAUUCUGAGGAGCAUGUCUGUUUGAGUGUCAUUAAAUUCUCAACUACACUGACUUUGAAUUGGUGUGGCUUGGAUUUGGGGGGAAAAUUGUUGUGGGCUUUUUGUAUAGUCUGCUCCCCUGAAAUUGAUUAGCGGUACCUUUGUGGAACUGUCUACAGGUGUGAUAAUUAUCUACAUCUUAGACAUCUGCUGGAAUGCUGCUUUCUAAACCUUACUUGUAUUGACAAUCUUGACCUCAAAUCAGGUAGGACUACCCGCUGAACUUAAGCAUAUCAAUAAGCGGAGGA